AGCUUUGCGCAGUGGCAGUAUUGUAGCCAAUGAGGUUUAUCCAAGGCGUGAUUAUUGCUAAUUGAAAACUUUUCCCAAUACCCGUCAUGAUGACUUGAAAUAUAGUCGGCAUUGGCAGUUUUUUACAGUCUCUACAGAGA
ensembl:snRNA U4 U4 spliceosomal RNA